rnacentral:lncRNA from 1 species
CAACUGUCUGCCGCGCCCUAAAGUCCUGCCUCAGUGAUUAGCUGUUAGGAGCUGGUCCCAGUUCUGCCCUUCCUAGCCGUGUGUCCUUGGACAAGUUGCUUUCAAGGCAUGGUCAAAAAAUAAGGGCCCUGUUGCUCAUGACCAACAGGUAAAUUCUCAGGCCAAGGCCAAUGUCUCAAGAAAGAAAAUGUGCACUCUUCACGUCUUGGAAAAACUCUAAAUUCAACAGUUCAACAAAUAUUUAUUCUCUGUGUAUUGGGAAAGUCACUCCACCAGGUUGAGUUCAUUGCUCUGAACAAAUUAUAGGACUUGUAGAAUUAUUAUUCUGCAAGUAUGUGCUUCUCCCAUCCGAUCAGCCCCCUUGGUGGCCUUCUGUACCUCUCUGCAAGACAAGAGGCUCAGCCAAAGUCAACAAGGAGCAUCCUAUUUGGUGAAGACCUAGAGAUUUUACAGAGAGAGUUUAUAGAAAACUUCUUCAUCCACCAUGACAAUUCAGUCAUCACAGUAACUCCUCAAAGUGGAAAAGCCAGUACCAGUACCGCCAUUUUGCCAAAGUGUAAACCAAGGCUUAAGGAAGGCAAAUGGUUCGUCCUAAGUCACACACAAGUUCAAGUCUUUGAAAAGUUGGUAAAGGCUGAUUGGACUGUUAUACCUACUUUUUUAGAAGAUAGGAGAUAGGAGAAAAUAUUACCACAAUGAAAGGAGGAGAAAGCCCAAAGGAAAAAAUCUGUUUUUUAAAAAAUCGAGAACUUGUCAGCGUGAUACACAGCUCUGAAGAUUAGAGCAAAGCAAACCACAUGU